CGGUCUGAGGGAGGCCAGAGCAGUCUCUGACGGCACGGUGCUCUGCAGUGACGUGACACCUACCGCCUCCUCCUCCGCGUGCGCCAGUGCCGGCACGCCCGGCCGCGGCGGGGCCUUACGCCCUUCUCCUCCGCUCCAGUAGCGCCCAGGUGGCUUACGGAGACAGACGGCAGGCCGUACCGCGGCAGAUGUUCCCUUCCACCUGCAGCGCUGCUUUCCGAGGCCACCGCUUGCAACGCUGCUCGCCGGCGCGCAGGCUGGUAGAGGCACCCUCUUCAGCAGGGGACCCGCGCCCGCCGGCGGCCCAGCUUUUGGGCGCCGCCUCGAGAGAGGGCGGCAGGUUUCACGCAGAAGCCGUCGCUCCCUUCCUGCCGCGGAGCCGCCGCACCGCGCCGGCAGGGAGGGCUCCGCUCCUCUGACCGCGUUCACGCGGCGCAUGGGAGCAAGUCCGCACGCGCGCCCCUCCAAACCACUCCGGAGGGGCCACCGCGCAUCCCCGGACCGGGGCAGACGGACUGGCCACCCGGGGCGAAGGCCACGCCGGCUCCAGAGAGGAGACCGUGCCCCAUCUUCCAAGAAGAGAGCUUUACUUAACCUCAGGAGAAGUCAGUCAACUAGCAACUCUUAAAAACACUUGCAGCCUCCCCCAGCUCCUCGCAGCAAAGCCUGCUCAGCUGAAGCACAUCUGCCCCCACCCGCCUUCCCUUCGAGGCUGCUCCGGCCCUGGGGCGGGAGCCUUGUACCCUGAUGGCAGUGCCAAAGGGCCAAGCAACAGCUCUUACAGCCAAACUCUAAUGGAAAGAGCAGCAACCUUCCACAGGAGGAGAAGUGAGGAUCUAAAGACAGCAAUAUAAAGAGCUAUCACAGAAGAGUCCAUCAAAUGUCAAUCAGUCAAACAAAGAAGUGAACAACAUGACAACUGUAAAACAUCCUGCAGUUCAGCUUGUUUGUUACAAAACAAGGGCAUCCGAUAACCUAACAGAACCAUUACACCUUGGGAGGCUGCUCCAAAGAGACAGAAGAACAGAAGUAAUGCUUUUCAUGCUGCACUGUCAAAUUAAACUUUUUAAAUGUUCUAACUUUA